GAAAGGCCAAUCAAACUCGGAGAUAGCUGGUUCUCCCCGAAAGCUAUUUAGGUAGCGCCUCGGACGAAUACUACUGGGGGUAGAGCACUGUUAAGGCUAGGGGGUCAUCCCGACUUACCAACCCUUUGCAAACUCCGAAUACCAGUAAGUACUAUCCGGGAGACACACGGCGGGUGCUAACGUCCGUCGUGGAGAGGGAAACAACCCAGACCGCCAGCUAAGGUCCCAAAGUUAUCGCUAAGUGGGAAACGAUGUGGGAAGGCUCAGACAGCCAGGAUGUUGGCUUAGAAGCAGCCAUCAUUUAAAGAAAGCGUAAUAGCUCACUGGUCGAGUCGGCCUGCGCGGAAGAUGUAACGGGGCUAAGCGAUACACCGAAGCUGCGGCAUCAACUCUUCGGAGUUGUUGGGUAGGGGAGCGUUCUGUAAGCCGUUGAAGGUGAACUGUAAGGUUUGCUGGAGGUAUCAGAAGUGCGAAUGCUGACAUGAGUAACGAUAAAGGGGGUGAAAAACCUCCUCGCCGGAAGACCAAGGGUUCCUGUCCAACGUUAAUCGGGGCAGGGUAAGUCGACCCCUAAGGCGAGGCCGAAAGGCGUAGUCGAUGGGAAACGGGUUAAUAUUCCCGUACUGCUUAUAACUGCGAUGGGGGGACGGAGAAGGCUAGGUGAGCUUGGCGACGGUUGUCCAAGUUCAAGUGCGUAGGUGGG
rnacentral:rRNA from 1 species